GGGUCAGUAGGUCGGUCGUGCCACCGGUACGUACUGGUCUCACUGAUUCCUCCUUCCUGAAGAACCGUAAUGCCAUUAAUUUGGUGUUGCGGGGAAACAGGACUGUUACUUUGAAAAAAUUAGAGUGUUUAAAGCAAGCUAACGCUUGAAUACAUUAGCAUGGAAUAAUGAAAUAGGACGAUCGAUCCUAUUCUGUUGGUUUCUAGGAUUGACGUA
rnacentral:rRNA from 1 species